CGGACACAUCACGUUGAAUCACCGGUUCCCGUAUGAUCACAGAAGUUAAGCAACUUCGUGCAUGGCCAGUACCUAGAUGUGUGCCCGCUUGGGAAUACU